rnacentral:rRNA from 1 species
GAUGAACGCUGGCGGCGUGCCUAAUACAUGCAAGUCGAGCGAACAGAUAAGGAGCUUGCUCCUUUGACGUUAGCGGCGGACGGGUGAGUAACACGUGGGUAACCUACCUAUAAGACUGGGAUAACUUCGGGAAACCGGAGCUAAUACCGGAUAACAUUUGGAACCGCAUGGUUCUAAAGUGAAAGAUGGUUUUGCUAUCACUUAUAGAUGGACCCGCGCCGUAUUAGCUAGUUGGUAAGGUAACGGCUUACCAAGGCGACGAUACGUAGCCGACCUGAGAGGGUGAUCGGCCACACUGGAACUGAGACACGGUCCAGACUCCUACGGGAGGCAGCAGUAGGGAAUCUUCCGCAAUGGGCGAAAGCCUGACGGAGCAACGCCGCGUGAGUGAUGAAGGGUUUCGGCUCGUAAAACUCUGUUAUUAGGGAAGAACAAACGUGUAAGUAACUGUGCACGUCUUGACGGCACCUAAUCAGAAAGCCACGGCUAACUACGUG